GACGAACGCUGGCGGCGUGCUUAACACAUGCAAGUCGAACGAUUUAGUCGUCGGUCAUCAGACGUCAGACGUCAGGGGAACGAAUGGAACUGAAGAAAGAACUCGCUUUAGCGAAAAUCUAUUCCGAAACCCUUACGACCGAUGUCCGAUGACUGACGACCGAAUAGUGGCGGACGGGUGAGUAACGCGUGGGCAACCUACCCAUAAGAGGGGGGAUAACAGCUGGAAACGGCUGCUAAUACCGCAUAAGCUUUUUGAGACACAUGUUUUAGAAAGUAAAGGAGGCGCAAGCUUCCGCUUAUGGAUGGGCCCGCGUCUGAUUAGCUAGUUGGUAGGGUAGCGGCCUACCAAGGCAACGAUCAGUAGCCGGCCUGAGAGGGUGGACGGCCACACUGGGACUGAGAACGGCCCAGACUCCGUACGGGAGGCAGCAGGUGGGGAAUAUUGCGGCAAUCGGGGGAAACCCUGACGCAGCGACGCCGCGUGAGCGAAGAAGCCUUGGUUGUAAGCUCU
rnacentral:rRNA from 1 species